rnacentral:tRNA from 1 species
UAUCUCAGAUGGUAAAGAAUCUGCCUGCAAUGCAGGAGACCCAGGUUCAAUACCUGG